UACGUAGGUGGCGAGCGUUGUCCGGAUUUACUGGGUGUAAAGGGCGUGUAGCCGGGCUGACAAGUCAGAUGUGAAAUCCGGGGGCUUAACCCCCGAACUGCAUUUGAAACUGUUGGUCUUGAGUAUCGGAGAGGCAGGCGGAAUUCCUAGUGUAGCGGUGAAAUGCGUAGAUAUUAGGAGGAACACCAGUGGCGAAGGCGGCCUGCUGGACGACAACUGACGGUGAGGCGCGAAAGCGUGGGGAGCAAACAGG
rnacentral:rRNA from 1 species